rnacentral:rRNA from 1 species
UAGAAGUGGGUAACAACGUUUCCGUAGGUGAACCUNGCGGAAGGAUCAUUGUCGAAACCUGCUCAAGCAGAACGACCCGCGAACACGUGAAAACAACCACGCUGGGGACCGGAGAGGGGCGCGAGCCCCCGACCGACCCCUUCGUCGUGCCGCGGAUCCGGCCGCGUGCGGUCGACCGCGGUCCGGCACAAACAAAAAACCCGGCGCAACAGGCGUCAAGGAAAUCUUAGCGGAAACAAGGCGGAGUCCCGCUCGCGGGGCGAUGCCAAGAAUCCGAUAUUUGAACGACUCUCGGCAACGGAUAUCUCGGCUCUUGCAUCGAUGAAGAACGUAGCGAAAUGCGAUACUUGGUGUGAAUUGCAGAAUCCCGUGAACCAUCGAGUCUUUGAACGCAAGUUGCGCCCGAGGCCUUCUGGCCGAGGGCACGUCUGCCUGGGCGUCACGCACAGCGUCGCCCCCAACCAUACCCGUUGUGGUCGGGGAGCGGAGAUUGGCCCCCCGAGCCCUCGCGGGCACGGUCGGCCCAAAUGAUGGUCCCUGGCAGCGGUCGCCGCGGUCAAGUGGUGGCUUCAAAUACCAUUUCGGUGACCGGUUGGCGUCGCGGCCCCAGUUGGGACCGAAUCGAUCGACCCGCAGAGGCCGUUCCGACGGCUUUUCACCCUGCGACCCCAGGUCAGGCGGGAUUACCCGCUGAAUUUAAGCAUAUCAAGGGGGCGGAGGAA